AAACUUCAAAACUUAAAAGCAAGCUCCAGUUUUAUUAGAAGAAAACAUUUCCUAUUACACCAAAGGCAUUGAAGGUAUUGAGACCCCAAUCGAAAUCAUGCAAAUACCAUUAACUAAGAACGAUCCCAACGCCACCAAACACGACUCACCUGGACAUCAGAAAACAAUGAAAAUGAAAAUGAUUAAUGCAUCAACCCCUUUAAAAUCUCCUCAACAGCUCAAUCAUAAAAUCCCCCCUAAACACCAAAUACCUUUCAAAUAAGUCUCUGACCCUCCAAACAACAUGGAGUAUAAAUAGCAGCAAAAAUCACCUCCACAUUACACUUACACCACUCACCUUUAUCAGCAGC
rnacentral:lncRNA from 1 species